rnacentral:misc_RNA from 1 species
AAAAUGCGAUAAGUAAUGUGAAUUGCAGAAUUCAGUGAAUCAUCGAAUCUUUGAACGCACCUUGCGCUCCUUGGUAUUCCUUGGAGCAUGCCUGUUUGAGUAUCAUGAAAUCUUCAAAGUAAAUCUUUUGUUAACUCAAUUGGUUUCUACUUUGGUAUUGAAGGUCUUUGCAGCUUCACACCUGCUCCUCUUUGUUCAUUAGCUGGAUCUCAGUGUUAUGCUUGGUUCCACUCGGCGUGAUAAGUUAUCUAUCGCUGAGGACACUGUAAAAGGUGGCCAAGGUAAAUGCAGAUGAACCGCUUCUAAUAGUCCAUUGACUUGGACAAUACUUUUAUGAUCUGAUCUCAAAUCAGGUAGGACUACCCGCUGAACUUAAGC